rnacentral:rRNA from 2 species
UUUAUAUGAGAGUUUGAUCCUGGCUCAGGAUGAACGCCGGCGGUGUGCCUAAUACAUGCAAGUCGUACGCACUGGCCCAACUGAUUAAUGGUGCUUGCACCUGAUUGACGAUGGAUCACCAGUGAGUGGCGGACGGGUGAGUAACACGUAGGUAACCUGCCCCGGAGCGGGGGAUAACAUUUGGAAACAGAUGCUAAUACCGCAUAACAACAAAAGCCACAUGGCUUUUGUUUGAAAGAUGGCUUUGGCUAUCACUCUGGGAUGGACCUGCGGUGCAUUAGCUAGUUGGUAAGGUAACGGCUUACCAAGGCGAUGAUGCAUAGCCGAGUUGAGAGACUGAUCGGCCACAAUGGAACUGAGACACGGUCCAUACUCCUACGGGAGGCAGCAGUAGGGGAUCUUCCACAAUGGGCGCAAGCCUGAUGGAGCAACACCGCGUGAGUGAAGAAGGGUUUCGGCUCGUAAAGCUCUGUUGUUGGAGAAGAACGUGCGUGAGAGUAACUGUUCACGCAGUGACGGUAUCCAACCAGAAAGUCACGGCUAACUA